GAUGAACGCUAGCGGGAGGCCUAAUACAUGCAAGUCGAACGGUAACAGGUAGCAAUACGCUGACGAGUGGCGCACGGGUGAGUAACACGUACACAACCUGCCUAUGACUGGGGCAUAACUUCGGGAAACUGAAGCUAAUUCCCCAUAACACUGCAGAAAGGCAUCUUUCAGCAGUUAAAGCCCCGGCGGUCAUAGAUGGGUGUGCGUUUGAUUAGCUAGUUGGUAAGGUAACGGCUUACCAAGGCUACGAUCAAUAACUGGUCUGAGAGGAUGAUCAGUCACACGGGCACUGAGACACGGGCCCGACUCCUACGGGAGGCAGCAGUAGGGAAUAUUGGACAAUGGAGGCAACUCUGAUCCAGCCAUCCCGCGUGAAGGAUUAAGGCCCUAUGGGUUGUAAACUUCUUUUCUCUGGGAAUAAAAACCGGGAUUUAUCCUGGCUUGAAGGUACCAGAGGAAUAAGCACCGGCUAACUCCGUGCCAGCCGCCGCCGUAAAAC
rnacentral:rRNA from 1 species